GACGAACGCUGGCGGCGUGCUUAACACAUGCAAGUCGAACGGAAAGGCCCUGCUUUUGUGGGGUGCUCGAGUGGCGAACGGGUGAGUAACACGUGAGUAACCUGCCCUUGACUUUGGGAUAACUUCAGGAAACUGGGGCUAAUACCGGAUAGGAGCUCCUGCUGCAUGGUGGGGGUUGGAAAGUUUCGGCGGUUGGGGAUGGACUCGCGGCUUAUCAGCUUGUUGGUGGGGUAGUGGCUUACCAAGGCUUUGCCGGGUAGCCGGCCUGAGAGGGUGACCGGCCACAAUGGGACUGAGAUACGGCCCAGACGCCUACGGGAGGCAGCGGUGGGGAAUAUUGCACAAUGGGCGGAAGCCUGAGGCAGCAACGCCGCGUGCGGGAUGACGGCCUUCGGGUUGUAAACCGCUUUCGCCUGUGACGAAGCGUGAGUGACGGUAAUGGGUAAAGAAGCACCGGCUAACUACGUG
rnacentral:rRNA from 1 species